rnacentral:rRNA from 1 species
UACGUAGGGGGCAAGCGUUGUCCGGAAUCAUUGGGCGUAAAGGGCGCGUAGGCGGCGCGACAAGUCACCUGUGAAAUCUCCGAGCUUAACUCGGAGCCUGCAGGCGAAACUGUCGUGCUGGAGUAUGGGAGAGGUGCGUGGAAUUCCCGGUGUAGCGGUGAAAUGCGUAGAUAUCGGGGAGGAACACCUGCGGCGAAGGCGGGUUGCUGGGCUGACACUGACGCUGAUGCGCGAAAGCCCAGGGGAGCGAACGGG